AGUGAACGCUGGCGGUAGGCCUAACACAUGCAAGUCGAACGGCAGCACAGUAAGAGCUUGCUCUUACGGGUGGCGAGUGGCGGACGGGUGAGGAAUACAUCGGAUUCUACUUUUUCGUGGGGGAUAACGUAGGGAAACUUACGCUAAUACCGCAUACGACCUACGGGUGAAAGCAGGGGAUCUUCGGACCUUGCGCGAUUGAAUGAGCCGAUGUCGGAUUAGCUAGUUGGCGGGGUAAAGGCCCACCAAGGCGACGAUCCGUAGCUGGUCUGAGAGGAUGAUCAGCCACACUGGAACUGGGACACGGUCCAGACUCCUACGGGAGGCAGCAGUGGGGAAUAUUGGGCAAUGGGCGCAAGCCUGAUCCAGCCAUACCGCGUGGGUGAAGAAGGCCUUCGGGUUGUAAAGCCCUUUUGUUGGGAAAGAAAAGCAGCAGGUUAAUACCCCGCUGUUCUGACGGUACCCAAAGAAUAAGCACCGGCUAACUUCGUG
rnacentral:rRNA from 1 species